UUGUCUCAAAGAUUAAGCCAUGCAUGUCUCAGUACAAGCCACAUUAAGGUGAAACCGCGAAAGGCUCAUUAAAUCAGUUAUGGUUCCUUAGAUCGUACCCACAUUUACUUGGAUAACUGUGGUAAUUCUAGAGCUAAUACAUGCAAACAGAGUUCCGACCGGAGACGGGAGGAAUGCUUUUAUUAGAUCAAAACCAAUCGGCGUCGGGCGCGUUCGCGCGUCCGUUCGCCGCUCAACUUGGUGACUCUGAAUAACUUUCGGCUGAUCGCACGGUCUCGCACCGGCGACGCAUCUUUCAAAUGUCUGCCUUAUCAACUGUCGAUGGUAGGUUCUGCGCCUACCAUGGUCGUAACGGGUAACGGGGAAUCAGGGUUCGAUUCCGGAGAGGGAGCCUGAGAAACGGCUACCACAUCCAAGGAAGGCAGCAGGCGCGCAAAUUACCCACUCCCGGCACGGGGAGGUAGUGACGAAAAAUAACGAUACGGGACUCAUCCGAGGCCCCGUAAUCGGAAUGAGUACACUUUAAAUCCUUUAACGAGGAUCAAUUGGAGGGCAAGUCUGGUGCCAGCAGCCGCGGUAAUUCCAGCUCCAAUAGCGUA
rnacentral:rRNA from 1 species